rnacentral:rRNA from 1 species
UGGGGAAUAUUGGACAAUGGGCGCAAGCCUGAUCCAGCCAUGCCGCGUGAGUGAUGAUGGCCCUAGGGUUGUAAAGCUCUUUCACCGGUGAAGAUAAUGACGGUAACCGGAGAAGAAGCCCCGGCUAACUUCGUGCCAGCAGCCGCGGUAAUACGAAGGGGGCUAGCGUUGUUCGGAUUUACUGGGCGUAAAGCGCACGUAGGCGGACUUUUAAGUCAGGGGUGAAAUCCCGGGGCUCAACCCCGGAACUGCCUUUGAUACUGGAAGUCUUGAGUAUGGUAGAGGUGAGUGGAAUUCCGAGUGUAGAGGUGAAAUUCGUAGAUAUUCGGAGGAACACCAGUGGCGAAGGCGGCUCACUGGACCAUUACUGACGCUGGGGUGCGAAAGCGUGGGGAGCAAACAGG